rnacentral:rRNA from 1 species
GUGAGGAAUAUUGGUCAAUGGGCGCAAGCCUGAACCAGCCAUGCCGCGUGAAGGAUGAAGGUUCUAUGGAUUGUAAACUUCUUUUAUUUGGGAAUAAACCUCGGGACGUGUCCCGAGCUGAAGGUACCAAACGAAUAAGCACCGGCUAACUCCGUGCCAGCAGCCGCGGUAAUACGGAGGGUGCAAGCGUUAUCCGGAAUCAUUGGGUUUAAAGGGUCCGCAGGCGGAUUUAUAAGUCAGUGGUGAAAUCUCUCGGCUCAACCGAGAAACUGCCAUUGAUACUGUAAGUCUUGAAUUCGGUCGAAGUGGGCGGAAUAUGACAUGUAGCGGUGAAAUGCUUAGAUAUGUCAUAGAACACCGAUAGCGAAGGCAGCUCACUAGGCCUGGAUUGACGCUCAGGGACGAAAGCGUGGGGAGCAAACAGGAUUAGAUACCCUUGUAGUCC